rfam:Candidatus Pelagibacter ubique HTCC1002 1099314759167, whole genome shotgun sequence.
UGAUAUUAUCAUUCCUAAGAUAGUCCUAUUUAGCCAUCUUUAGCUCCCGGUUUUAUUUAGGACUAUCCAAACAACAAAAUGCUUC